rnacentral:rRNA from 1 species
GUGAGUAGUUCAGAGUUUGUAUCCUGGCUCAGGACGAACGCUGGCGGCGUGCUUAACACAUGCAAGUCGAACGGACGGAAAGAGCUUGCUCUUCCGUUAGUGGCGGACGGGUGAGUAACACGUGAGUAACCUGCCCUAUACAACGGGAUAACACAGAGAAAUUUGUGCUAAUACGGUAUAAGACCACAAGAGGGGCAUCCCUUGGUGGUAAAAGAUUUUAUCGGUAUAGGAGGGGCUCGCGGCCCAUUAGAUAGUUGGCGGGGUAACGGCCCACCAAGUCGACGAUGGGUAGCCGACCUGAGAGGGUGAUCGGCCACAUUGGAACUGAGAUACGGUCCAA